rnacentral:rRNA from 1 species
UACGUAGGGGGCUAGCGUUAUCCGGAAUUACUGGGCGUAAAGGGUGCGUAGGUGGUUUCUUAAGUCAGAGGUGAAAGGCUACGGCUCAACCGUAGUAAGCCUUUGAAACUGGGGAACUUGAGUGCAGGAGAGGAGAGUGGAAUUCCUAGUGUAGCGGUGAAAUGCGUAGAUAUUAGGAGGAACACCAGUUGCGAAGGCGGCUCUCUGGACUGUAACUGACACUGAGGCACGAAAGCGUGGGGAGCGAACAGG